rnacentral:rRNA from 1 species
AUUGAACGCUGGCGGCAGGCCUAACACAUGCAAGUCGAACGAGUGGCGUACGGGUGAGUAAUUUCUGGGAAACUGCCUGAUGGAGGGGGAUAACUACUGGAAACGGUAGCUAAUACCGCAUACCAUCAGAUGUGCCCAGAUGGGAUUAGCUAGUUGGUGGGGUAACGUCGCACCUAGGCGACGCUCCCUAGCUUGUCUGAGAGGAUGAUCAGUCACACUGGAACGGAGACACGGUCCAGACUCCUACGGGAGGGAGCAGUGGGGAAUAUUGGACAAUGGGCGAAAGCCUGAUCCAGCCAUGCCGCGUGGGUGAAGAAGGUCUUCGGGUUGUAAAGCACUUUAAGCGGGGAGGCGUUACCAGCAGAAGAAGCACCGGCUAACUCCGUGCCAGCCGCCGCGGUAAUAC